GUCAUUUUUUACUUCUUCUCGAGUUCUUUGCCAACAAUCAUCAUCAUCUCAUUCAUCCGCAAUCAUCAUCAUCUUCCCCAUCUCCACUUCUCUAGAUUCCAAAAUCCCAAAUUCUCCCAUCUCAAAUCUAACAGAUUUGGGAAUUGGCAAGAGCCAAGAAGGAUUUUUGAGUCUAACACAACAAUUUCGUUGGGUUAUAAUAUCAUGGCUCCAAUUAGAAAAUAUUCUUCCGGUGCUCAAAAGAGAAAAGAGAAGCAAAAGAGAGAUGCAUUAGUUAAGCUUCAAGCCGGAUCUCUUAGUAAGUACUUCAACACAAAUAAUAAACAAGCAAAGACUUCAGCUGAUGCAAGUGUACUUGAGAAUGAGAAUGAGAAGGAUGUUGAAGAACAUGAUCAGUUAAUGACUGAAAAUGAGAGUGCAUAACUGAGUCAAGGUCUUAAUGCCAAUGAAAAGGAUGAUCUUAGUCAGCCUAUACAUGAAAGUGGUGGUACAGACGAACCAAAUCUUCCAGUGAAUGAGGAAGAAAAUAUUAUUGUUGAAGAUGAUCGAAACAAAAAUUCAAGUGCAGAAUUUGAAUUAAUAUAAAAUUUUGGUAA